UAUAUUCAAUUUGAGAUCCUGGUUAAAAAAAGGGGGUUUUAGUAGGCUAGGUUUUUUUUCAUCGGUAUAUUUACGGUAUUUCUGAAGGUCAGGCGGCCACACUGCUUCACUCCUGCGACGAUAAAAAGAGUCGUAAUUUUGAAUGGUCAAUAAAAAAGUGUAUGGACAACAGGCAAAAACAGCCAAGGCAAAUUGUAAGGUUCGUUAUAGGCUAUUCAUACUGACGACAAUAUCCAUCAUCCAUUUUGGAUGUUCCUAAACCGCAUAUUUCUAUGCGAUAGUUAGCCGAUGGUUUUCAAAUGCAACCCUGAAAGCACUGAAUGGUAAUAAAAAAUAGUUUGCGCCUAGAUAUAUAUUUAUCAUAUCAUAAUAUGAAUUUUAAAUCGUUGUGGACUAAUAAAAAAAAAUUCAACUGACACAAUACCAAAUGGAAUGGCCAGUAAUGCCAUUAAAAAAAAACAAACAAUACACGCAUGUCAAAUAGGAAAGCUUAGAUGGAAAAUCUCGCUAUGAACAUUUCGCAUGAUAGUACUGCGGAUGUAGCUGGAAAAUCUUCUGGAGAUUUUUCGGAAAAUGCUGGAAGUCCAGAAGGAGGAGGAGCACCAGAAUGCGAAGCAGCCAGGGCCAAACCAACUUCCAAGGAGAGCUUCUGCAAUUUUCACGGAAGUCCAAAGAGCAACGUUUAUUGUAUGUAUAUGGAUUGUUUCAUUAUAGCCAAUAAAAUAUAAAAUUAACUAAUUUAAAA